UCCGUAGGCGGGCGUCUAAGUCAGUGGUGAAAUCUUACAGCUCAACUGUAAAAUUGCCAUUGAUACUGGAUUUCUUGAAUUAGUGUGAAGUGGUUAGAAUGUGUAGUGUAGCGGUGAAAUGCAUAGAUAUUACACAGAAUACCAAUUGCGAAGGCAGAUCACUAACACUAUAUUGACGCUGAGGGACGAAAGCGUGGGGAGCGAACAGGAUUAGAUACCCUGGUAGUCC
rnacentral:rRNA from 1 species